GUUGCAGAUUUAUUAGCAUUUCUUUAUUAUACUGUAAUAGAAAUGACAGGAUUUUGCCACAACUUAUCUAGAUUACUGCAACUCUGAUGAAUAGAUGACUGAGUUAAAUAUGUUGGUGCUAUUACAGCAUAGGGAAUACAGCCAAUAAAAAAAAUAUGUUGGUGCUUUGUUUUGAAAGUCCACUUUCACAAAUACUGAUAAUGUGAAAAGUGUCCUUCUCUCUUACCCAGGAGACUUCCUGUGAGGUGCUAUAUUGGUUGAUUCAAAUUAUAAACUUUUAAGUCAAACUUUCAAAUAUUUAUGUAGAAUUCACUAUCAGACGCACAUCAAACCAUUCUAUAAAUACCAACAGGAACUCAAAAUUGUGGGUUUAUGAUUUAGUCCUUAUAUACACAUUAUUCUGUCCUUAUACACCUUUGACAAACUUCUUCUUUCAGAAAAAGAUAUGCCUGAUUUCACCGGAUGAUGGAAUUGGAAGAGACUCUAGAAUUCAAAUUUUCCAAAGCCUCUCACUCUACAGAAAACCCAACUUCUAUGUUAAAAAUCCUGUGUGGCAGAAACGGAGGAGGACACAAAGGAAAAGACCACAAGUGUGAGGCUGUGACUCUGCUGAACCAGAAAGAGGAUCUACACCGGGUAAGUGGGCAUCAAUUUGUCAUUCUCAGAACCACCAGCCCAGGAAAUAUGACCUUCAGCAAAUCAGACUGAAUGUUUCUGCUUGAAAGAUGACCUGGCUUUAGUGAGAGAGCAUGAAGUUUUGGUUCUAGGAGUUGGACUCUGCCUGUGGGAGAUCUGAGACUGAGCUGAGGGCAGAGCAAGGCACAAUGGUACUGUGUUGGUUCAGUUGAAAGCAUGGCAAAGAGGAAUCCCAGAGAUCUGAGGAAACGAAUUCUGCCUCUAGAUUUGUAGGCAAAAUUCUUUUCCCCAAAUCUCUAAAAUUGUCCCCAGCAAUGAUCAUUUUUAGGCAGGAAAUAAUGAAGUCUUAUCUUGCACAUUUCUGAAAAUCUAAUUUGGGGAGCCAUUCUCUCAAGAGUUGCUGGCAACUCUGGGACUUGAGUUAUUAGAAAUGUGAUAUUGCAAUCAGGGUAAGAGAAGAUCCUAAUAGGGUAUUUAAGAGCUAACAGGCUUCCUAACCUCAUAUCAUAUAAAUAAGCUAAUGCCCUAGGUCCUUUCGGACCUUUUAGUACGUAUGACAAAAACAAAACAAAAUGAAAAAACUUUCA
rnacentral:lncRNA from 1 species